UACAGAGGUGGCAAGCGUUGUUCGGAAUUACUGGGCGUAAAGGGCGCGUAGGCGGUCUUAUAAGUCUCGUGUGAAAUCCCUCGGCUUAACUGAGGAACUGCACGGGAUACUGCAAGACUUGAGAUCGGGAGAGGGAAGCGGAAUUCCGGGUGUAGCGGUGAAAUGCGUAGAUAUUGUGAGGAACACUAGAGGCGAAGGCGAGACUCUGGACAGGUCCUGACGCUGAGGCACGAAGGCCAGGGGAGCAAACGGG
rnacentral:rRNA from 1 species